CGGAUAAUUUGGUAAAACUGCAAUCACUGUGGAGCAGAUCUUUUUAUUGUUUUUGUUGCUGGCUAUGGGCUUCCCAGGUGGCGCUAGUGGUUCUUUACAACCCACCUGCCGAUGCAGAAGACCUAAAAGACGCAGGUUCAAGCCCUGGGUCGGGAAGAUCCCCAGGAGGAGGGCAUGGCAACCCACUGCAGUAUUCUUGCCUGGAAGAUCCCAAGGACUGAGGGUCUGGCAGAUUACAGUCCAGUGUCGAAAAGAGUCGGCAGGACUGAAGCAGUUUAGCACACAUGCACAUUAUUGGGUAUCGCUGCUUUACAGUAUCACUUUCUGCGGUACAACGAAGUAAAUCAGCUCUAUGUGUACAUAUAUUGCCUCCCUCUUGGACAUUCCUCCCACCUCACCCUCAUCCCACCCCUCUGGGUCAUCACGGAGCACCAAGGUGAGCUCCCUUCACUAGACAGCAGCUCCCCACUGGCUCCCUCUCUCACACAUGGUGUGUAUAUCUGUCAAUCCCAGCCUCCCAGUACGUCCCCCACUUCCUCCCACCACAUCCACACGUUUGUUCUCUAUUCCUGCCCUGUAAAUAGAUUCAUCAGUUCGGACAAUAUAAAAUGCUUACAGGAAAACACAGGCAGAACACUCUUUGACAUAAAUCACAGCAAGAUCUUUUUUGACCCACCUUCUACAGUCCUGAAAAUAAAAACAAAAAUAUGGGCCUAAUUAAACUUAAAAGCUUUUGCACAGCAAAAAAAAAAAAAAAAAAAAACCAUAAAUGAGACACAAAGACAACCCUCAGACUGGGAGAAAACAUUUGCAAAUGAAGCAACUGAUAAGAGACUAAUCUCCAAAAUAUACAAACAGCUCAUGCAGCUCAAUAUCAAAAAAAAAAAAAAAAAAAAAAGAGCAACCUAAUUGAAAAAUGAGCAGUGGUUCUUGACCAAAGGCAGUUUUGUCUCCCAUGGGAUACUGGGCAGUGUCUGGAGACAUCUGUGGUCAUUGCAGCUGGGUAGGAGAGAGCCACGGGCAUCUAGCAGGUACCUGCAGCGAUCAGGACACCCCACAGCGCAGAGUUAGUGGUGCAAAAUGUCAGCCAUGCUGAGCUUGUAUAAUAUGUAGGAUGCAUCCAAUGGACAGGCCCAGUGGGGUAGGGAGGAAUAUAUAUAUAUAUUUUUUCUCUCUCACAUCUAUAAAACUGUUAUGAUGAUGUUUAAGCUAGAGAGCACAUUUUGAUUCAUUUUCUAAACUUUUUAUUUUUAUUGGGGUAUAGUUCAUUAUAUAUAUGAUUUUAUAUAUAUAUAUAUAUGAAAAGAUUGAGGGCAGGAGGAGAAGCGGGUGACAGAGGAUGAGAUGGCUGGAUGACGUCACUGACUCAGUGGACAUGAGUCUGAGUAAGCUCUGGGAGACAGUAAAGCACACGACGUCUGGCGUGUUGCAGUUCAUGGAGUUGCAGAGUCAGACACAACUUAGCAACUAAACAACAACAUAGGCGACUAACAGUGCUGUGACAGUUUCAGGCGCACAGAGAAGGGACUCCGCCGUACAUAUACGUGUAUCCAUUCUCCCCCAAUAUUUAAUUUUGAUAUGUAAAUUAGACUAUUAAAAAUUCUAAGUUGAGGUAUUAUUUGACAAAAUCGUAAGACAUUUAAACUGUACAAUGUGAUCAUUUGAUAUAUUACAUCAGAUGUCAUGAAAGGAAUAAACCCCAUUAAGAUCAUUAAUACAUCCAUCACCUCACACAUUUCCCUAUUAUUUUAUGCCUUGUUUAAUUUUGAGGUUGAAUUCAUGUUUUAUAAAAUUCUUAGAGUAAACAUAAAUAUUUGAAUACUCACUGAAAUCAACUUGAUUGAUUUGAAAUCACCUUAAGAUUACAAUCAAAUUUAUUGCCAAUCCAAUGUUGGCACAGAUUGGCUGAAAAAGUGUUUUAAAUUUCUUGAAUAUUACCAAAUUUGAUCUCCCUAAGAAAGAAAAAAAUGCCCAUUUAGAAUACUAAAAUAUAAAAGCCUGUGAAAGAACUGGGGAGCUGGGAUCUGUCAGAAAUAACAAAAAGAAGCCAGAGGAAGUACCAAAGGCAGGAGUCCCAGUGAGGGGGACCCCAGGAAGGAGGCAACCAUUACACAGGGGUAACGGUGUCACACACAAGGGUGACUGUCUCACACACAGGGGUGACUGUCUCACACACGGGGCAAUGGUCUCACAUGCAGGGGUGACUGUGUCACACACAGGGGUGACUGUCUCACACACAGGGGUGACUGUCUCACACACAGGGUAACUGUGUCACACACAGGGGUGACUGUCUCACACACAGGGGUGACUGUCUCACACACGGGGCAAUGGUCUCACAUGCAGGGGUGACUGUGUCACACACAGGGGUGACUGUCUCACACACAGGGGUGACUGUCUCACACACAGGGGUAACAGUGUCACACACAGGGGCAAUGGUCUCACAUGCAGGGGUGACUGUGUCACACACAAGGGUGACUGUCUCACACACAGGGGUGACUGUCUCACACACGGGGUAAUGGUCUCACAUGCAGGGGUGACUGUGUCACACACAGGGUAACUGUGUCACACACAGGGGUAACUGUCGCACACACGGGGUGACUGUCUCACACACAGGGGUAACUGUGUCACACACAGGGGUGACAGUGUCACAUACAGGGGUAACUGUCUCACAUACAGGGAUGACUGUCUCACACAAAGGGGCAAUGGUCUCACACACAGGGGUAACUGUGUCACACACAGGGGUGACAGUGUCACAUACAGGGGUAACUGUGUCACACAGGGGUGACUGUCUCACACACAGGGGUGACUGUCUCACACACAGGGGUGACAGUGUCACACACAGGGGUAACUGUCUCACACACAGGGGUGACUGUCUCACACACAGGGGUAACUGUCUCACACACAGGGGUGACUGUCUCACACACAGGGGUGACUGUCUCAGACACAGGGGUGACAGUGUCACAUACAGGGGUAACAGUGUCACAUACAGGGGUAACUGUGUCACACAGGGGUGACUGUCUCACACACAGGGGUGACUGUGUCACACACAGGGGUGACUGUCUCACACACAGGGGUGACAGUGUCACACACAGGGGUAACUGUCUCACACACAGGGGUGACUGUCUCACACACAGGGGUGACUGUCUCACACACAGGGGUAACUGUCUCACACACAGGGGUGACUGUCUCACACAGGGGUGACUGUCUCACACACAGGGUAACUGUGUCACAUACAGGGGUAACUGUCUCACACACGGGGUGACUGUCUCACACACAGGGGUGACUGUCUCACACACAGGGGUAACUGUGUCACACACAGGGGUGACUGUCUCACACACAGGGGCAAUGGUCUCACACACAGGGGUAACUGUGUCACACACAGGGGUGACUGUCUCACACACAGGGGUAACAGUGUCACAUACAGGGGUAACUGUCUCACACAUGGGGUGACUGUCUCACACACAGGGGUGACUGUCUCACACACAGGGGUAACUGUGUCACACACAGGGGUGACUGUCUCACACAGGGGGGUGACUGUCUCACACACAGGGGUGACAGUGUCACACACAGGGGUAACUGUCUCACACACAGGGGUGACUGUCUCACACACAGGGGUAACUGUGUCACACACAGGGGUAACUGUCUCACAUACAGAGAUGACUGUCUCACACAAAGGGGUAAUGGUGUCACAUACAGGGGUAACUGUCUCACAUACAGGGUAAUGGUGUCACAGUGGUAACUGUGUCAUAUACAGGGGUGACUCUCUCAUACAGGGAUAACUGUCUCACACACAGGGGUAACAGUGUCACAUACAGGGAUAAGUGUCUCACACACAGGGGUAACUGUCUUACAUAUAGGGAUAAUUGUCUCACAUACAGGGGUAAUGGUAUCACACAGGGAUAACUGUCUCACACACAGGGGUAACGGUGUCACACACAGGGGUAACUGUCACACACAGGGGUAAUGGUUCACAUACAUGGGUGACUCUCUUACAUACAGGGAUAACUGUCUCACACACAGGGGUAACGGUGUCACACACAGGGGUAACUGUCACACACAGGGGUAACGGUGUCACAUACAGGGAUAACUGUCUCACAUACAGAGUAACAGUGUCACUUACAGGGGUAACUGUCUCAUAUACAGGGAUAACUGUCUCACAUACAAUGGCAACGGUCUCACAUACAGGGGUGACUGUCUCACAUACAGGGUAAUGGUGUCACUUACAGGGGUAACAGUGUCACAUACAGCGGUGACUGUGUCACACACAGGGGUAACUGUGUCACACACAGGGGUAACUAUCUCACACACAGGGGUAACUCUCUCACACACAGGGGUAACUGUCUCACAUACAGGGAUAACUGUCUCACAUACAGAGUAACAGUGUCACUUACAGGGGUAACUGUCUCAUAUACAGGGAUAACUGUCUCACAUAUAGGGGUGACUGUGUCACACACAGGGGUGACUAUCUCACAUACAGGGAUAACUGUCUCACAUACAGGGGUGACUGUCUCACAUACAGGGUAACGGUGUCCCUUACAGGGGUAACUGUGUCACACACAGGGGUGACGGUGUCACACACAGGGGUAAUGGUGUCACACACAGGGUUAACAGUGUCACACACGGGGUAAUGGUGUCACACCCAGGGGUAACAGUGUCACAUACAGGGGUAACUGCUAGAAGGUUACUUGUUCUCCUCAGCACCAGACAGACAGGACCCCAGUGGCUGUUCCCUCGCCCUGAAGGUGCCACUGAACUUUACACUUGGCUGAGCCCUGCCAAAGAGCACCAUGCCCACACCACCUGGGUCGAGGGGCUGCAGGACUGGGCAGGAGAGAGGAGGCAGAUUCCUGAGGCACUCCUAUUAAACAGGCCUCCUCCUCUUUUGAAUGUUAAGUUCGAAGACUCUAUCUCACCAAGCCAAAAAACAAUAAAAAUCUCUUAAGUCUUUGAGGAACCUGCCGAUUCAUUUUUAGCUAUCAUUUUACAUUAAAGUUCCAGUUGAUAAUAUUUUUAGAAAAAUAAUUGCUGAUGCUAAAAAAAAAUCAAAACUUGAAAAUAAAAAAAUGACUUGAAAAUGACUGUGGUCCAACAUGCAAAUAUGAUCAAUCCCUGGUAUUCAUGAGGAAUACACGAGAUCUUCAAGAAUCUCCAAAUUUAUAUGCAUCCAAAAAUAUUUAUCUGGGCUGCUGUUCUUCCUCCCAAGUUCCAAGUCCCUGGCAGCAUUUCAUGGACAUAUAUUUUCUUUCUCAGUGGACAGUGUUCUUAAAAAAGAGAGAGAGAUGUUGGGUAGAGAAGCAGUGAGCCAGGCUGGGGGGUGGUGCACGCGGGGGGCUUCUGAGCUUGCUCACAGCUCUGGGCAGCUGCACACACAUGGCGGAACCAACGAAUGCAGUUAUCAUACACAUUGCCCCCAAGUUAUCAUCCGCAUCGCUUCCUGGACAUGCAUCCAAUUUACUCGCUAACAGCUGAAGUCACAAAUACCAAGUUUAAGAAUGCCAAGGGUCUAUGGAGCUUCGGUCCAUGAAGGGCAUACAUCAAAAGCCAACUACAGACCAGGAUGAUCCCUUCAGUGGAGGUCAGGACCCCCAGGGAAGGAUGCUGGUGGAAACACUCGGUGAGGUGAACCUGAGGGGAAAGAAGGGAGGCAGGCAGGGAAGCUGUGGAAUGUGCGGUCUGCACAGGACACCGGAGGACACACCCGAGAAGGGGGACAGGCUGAGCGGAGCUGCGGGCCCAGGAAGCAUGGGGAUGUCACAAACUGGGCUGAGUGGCCCAGCCCAAGUCAAGAGCUGUGUUCUAAUCCCAACCCCAAAUCCCAGGGUCAUUGCAGAUGUGAUCAAGUUAAGAGGCAGUCACACUGGAGUAGGAUGAGCCCCAAUGCAGUGCCUAGUGUCCCUAUAAGAAAAGAAGUGUGGACAGGGGCCUACAGAGAAGAGAAAGCCACGUGUCAACAGAGCAGAAACUGGGGUGAUGUGCAAGCCAAGGGACCCUCAGGACCACCAGCCACGGGCAGACCCCAGGAGAGGGCCAUGAAGUGUUCUCCUUCGGGGCCUCCAAAGAGAACCAACCCUGCUGGCCCUUCCAUUCUGGACUUCUGGCCUCCAGAACUGGGAGAAAAUCAACCUCACUGAUUCUAAGCCUCUCCACGUGUGGCACUUUAUGACAGCAGCCCCAAGAAACUAACCCAUGGGGUGAAAUCGACUCAGCUCGAAGCUGCGCAGGCUUGCUGCUUCCUGACCGUGAAUAUGGACCGAGGUCCUAAUUUUCUCAGUUUACAGUCAAGGUUGUUCUCACUCACAUGCAUGUCAUGAUGCCUCUUCCAGUCCGUGACUUACCUGAGAAUGCAGAUCUAUUUUAGCUACCAAAAUCAGUGCCUAGAGGUGAAAAAAACUAGAGUCACCCAAACCCCACACUUUCAUCGGCCAGACACGUUCAUCUGGGUCUGUGUGUGAGAUCUGCUCCCCAAACACACUUGAAAUGCUAGGGAAUCGGGGAGACUCCAGCAGCAGACGAGCAGAAGGAGAGGGAUGGGUCCACUCACUGCCCAACACAUGGGGUGGGGCUCCUCCAGACUCAGAGGUCCACGGACUUCGCCUGAGUCCUCCCCGCAAAUCAGGAGGUGGAUGCUGCGGACUGUGUGGGAUGGCGGGACCCACAGCGGGACGUUCUGAUGAAACCUUCUGACACGCGGACCUUGCUCCAGGCUGACAAGGCAAGGCGGGGCUCAGAAACCAGCAGUGAGGAGGCCAAGGGGGG
ensembl:lncRNA